rnacentral:rRNA from 1 species
UGGAUCCAGACUUUGAUUAUGGCUCAGGACGAACGCUGGCGGCGCGCCUAACACAUGCAAGUCGAACGAGGUUUUGGAUUUAUCUGAAACUUAGUGGCGGACGGGUGAGUAACACGUGAAGAACCUGCCUUAUAGAGGGGGACAACAGCUGGAAACGGCUGCUAAUACCGCAUAAUGUUAUGGGACGGCAUCGUCUCAUAACCAAAGGAGCAAUCCGCUGUAAGAUGGCUUCGCGUCCGAUUAGACAGUUGGCGGGGUAACGGCCCACCAAAUCUACGAUCGGUAGCCGGACUGAGAGGUUGAUCGGCCACAUUGGGACUGAGACACGGCCCAGACUCCUACGGGAGGCAGCAGUGGGGGAUAUUGCACAAUGGAGGAAACUCUGAUGCAGCAACGCCGCGUGAGGGAAGAAGGUUUUCGGAUUGUAAACCUCUGUCUUCGGUGACGAAAAUGACGGUAGCCGAGGAGGAAGCCACGGCUAACUACGUGCCAGCAGCCGCGGUAAUACGUAGGUGGCAAGCGUUGUCCGGAAUUACUGGGUGUAAAGGGAGCGUAGGCGGGAAGGCAAGUUGAUUGUUUAAACUAUGGGCUCAACCCAUAGUCGCGAUCAAAACUGUUUUUCUUGAGUGAAGUAGAGGUAAGCGGAAUUCCUAGUGUAGCGGUGAAAUGCGUAAAUAUUAGGAGGAACACCAGUGGCGAAGGCGGCUUACUGGGCUUUAACUGACGCUGAGGCUCGAAAGCGUGGGUAGCAAACAGGAUUAGAUACCCUGGUAGUCCACGCCGUAAACGAUGAUUACUAGGUGUGGGGGGACUGACCCCUUCCGUGCCGGAGUUAACACAAUGAGUAGUCCACCUGGGGAGUACGACCGCAAGGUUGCAACUCAAA